UACGUAGGGUGCAAGCGUUGUCCGGAAUCAUUGGGCGUAAAGCGCGCGUAGGCGGCCCGAUAAGUCCGCUGUGAAAGUCAACGGCUCAACUGUUGAAAGCCGGUGGAUACUGUCGGGCUAGAGUACGGAAGAGGCAAGUGGAAUUCCUGGUGUAGCGGUGGAAUGCGCAGAUAUCAGGAGGAACACCUAUAGCGAAGGCAGCUUGCUGGGACGUUACUGACGCUAAGGCGCGAAAGCGUGGGGAGCGAACAGG
rnacentral:rRNA from 1 species